GACGAACGCUUGCGGCGUGCCUAAGAAAUGCAAGUCGAACGGGCAUCGGCUUCGGUCGGUGUCAGUGGCGAACGGUCGCGUAACACGUAGGCAACCUGCCCUAAAGUGGGGGAGUAACGACCCGAAACGGGUUGGCUAAUACCGCAUGUGGCCCCACGGAUCGCAUGGUCCUGUGUCUGAAGGGGUGGAGCAAUCACUUCGCUUUA
rnacentral:rRNA from 1 species